CCCAGCACUCUCCAGUGUGCCACACUGAACCAUCCCUUAAGUUUAAUUUUUACAGCAGGUAGCCUCUGAAAACCAAGUUUUUCCAGGACCAAAGGAUGAGUUCUCAGAAAAAUGAAUUGCCUUACCUGGUUGUAUUUCUUCAUGUUUUCCUUACAGCCAUAGUCAUAAGCUUGAAAUUGAUCUGCAUGUUUUAUCUGUUAGUAUUGUAACAAGGACAAACAAAGUGAAAAUGUUAAGAGACAGAGUGCAGGAGUUGUUUUCUUGCAUAUGAUUGAACUUGAGUCUCUGGCAGUAGACAGGAUUCCAGGGAUACUGAGGAGGGAUUGUGGGAUAAGUGGUUUCACCACCUUUCCCCUUGCUAGCAUUUUCUCCUGAUCUUCAACCACUGCCCUUGUUAUGUUUAGUUAUUAAAGCCUUGCUGCCCUACCUUAAUUGGCUCUUUAAUUAGCUAACAUAGCUCUUUGUGAUACAGGAGCAUGUCAGGGCUCUCACUAGCCUGGGAUACCUCCUCAAAAUCCUGGAUUUUGUGUGCCUGCUUGGUCUGCUCUGCUCUGCUCACAGUAGCAGCAGCGAUAUCAGAGGCUCUGAACUGCAUACAAGAAUAUUGGGAGCAGAGUGUGAUUACCUUAGCACUAAACUCUUGUCUUCUAUGAUUUGUCUAAAAGGAAUAUCAAAAUAAUAAAGGAUUAACCUGUUUUACUGA